rnacentral:rRNA from 1 species
UGUUUAUUUUACCUUGUUGCUUCGGCGGGCCCGCCUUAACUGGCCGCCGGGGGGCUUACGCCCCCGGGCCCGCGCCCGCCGAAGACACCCUCGAACUCUGUCUGAAGAUUGUAGUCUGAGUGAAAAUAUAAAUUAUUUAAAACUUUCAACAACGGAUCUCUUGGUUCCGGCAUCGAUGAAGAACGCAGCGAAAUGCGAUACGUAAUGUGAAUUGCAAAUUCAGUGAAUCAUCGAGUCUUUGAACGCACAUUGCGCCCCCUGGUAUUCCGGGGGGCAUGCCUGUCCGAGCGUCAUUGCUGCCCUCAAGCACGGCUUGUGUGUUGGGCCCCGUCCUCCGAUCCCGGGGGACGGGCCCGAAAGGCAGCGGCGGCACCGCGUCCGGUCCUCGAGCGUAUGGGGCUUUGUCACCCGCUCUGUAGGCCCGGCCGGCGCUUGCCGAUCAACCCAAAUUUUUAUCCAGGUUGACCUCGGAUCAGGUAGGGAUACCCGCUGAACUUAAGCAUAUCA